UGUCACUCUCCCAAAGAGGAGGAGGAUCUGCUCAAGGAGCAGAGGAAGCAGGGGAGAGACCGGCCUCUUAGCCCCCGCUGGGGGUUAAACAGGAGAGGUGAGUCUGUGAGGAGGACCGAUCAAGGGGAUGCAUCGUGACGCCUUUUGUUAUGAUGAAGUCAUUGAAGGGAAAACCCACAAAGGACUAAAAACAAACGGCGUGGCUACUGAGGUUGGACUGAGAGGGCGACUGGAUCCUGAAAUGUGAAGACUGGGAGGAAUGGAGAGAAUCCAUGCUGCUAAUGCUGCUGUCACAGGCCCCCAACGGGCCUCAGACCCACAGAACACAUAACAGAACAAGAGCACUCCGCUGUCUGGGCCUCAGAUGCUUUACUGUGUGGAUGAAUGCCUCUAUGACUGAUGCCUGGCGUGAUGGGAAAACACCAUGCUGAUCAAGUAGGAACACAACCAGCCCUCUGCUCAGUCUCUCUUCACAGCAGCAUCCUUUCAACUCCAGUCAGGAAGCCCAGCGUACUGAAUAAGAUGAAGAGGAUAAUUUCAUAGUAUGUGAUAAUGAAGCAAAAGGAAAUGAAAUAACACAAACACUCAAACAAGCGGUAUAAUCAGCAUAAUUUUGUUGGUUUGAUGUUGGGGGGAUGUUGCCUAGUUUAGAGGCAGCUCUCCACAGAUGUUAGACGUGUGACAUGCUAAGAAAAAUAAUGUUCUUCUGGUAGUGUUUGAGUAGUCUUUGGAUUGACAUAGCCAGAUUACAGGGCUGUGUUAGUGGCUUGGGUGUGACUGCCUCAGUUGGGUUCGAUCCCCAAUGUCUGCAACCUAACCCGAAGGCUUUCUUGAGCAAGAUGUUGAGCAUCUUUUUUGACCUGAUCUAAAUUUGCCUGUUAGUCACUUUGGAUACAAGCUCAAUAAGUGAAUAUAUAGUCAAGUCAAGUCACCAAUGACUGGACGGAAUCAUCUUCUUUUUAUAUUACAGGGAAAUGACAUAUGAUAAUUCUGUUUAUGUGCUACUAAAAUGUGGCGGGCACAGUUUAAUAAGGAACAUAUACUCACAUGAAGUCUUUAUGAAGUCAUUAAUUAAAAUUAUUUACUAUGCCCUUUAUGGUGGGUAGUGAUGAUGUAGAAAUAAAAUGAUGUGUAAAUAUUCA
ensembl:lncRNA